GAUGAACGCUGGCGGCGUGCUUAACACAUGCAAGUCGAACGGAGCUUAUCGAAUGAAGUUUUCGGAUGGAUUUUGGUAAGCUUAGUGGCGGACGGGUGAGUAACGCGUGGGGAACCUGCCCCAUACCGGGGGACAACAGUUGGAAACGACUGCUAAUACCGCAUAAGCGCACGGUGUGGCAUCACACAGUGUGAAAAACUCCGGUGGUAUGGGAUGGCCCCGCGUUGGAUUAGGCAGUUGGCGGGGUAACGGCCCACCAAACCGACGAUCCAUAGCCGACCUGAGAGGGUGACCGGCCACAUUGGGACUGAGACACGGCCCAAACUCC
rnacentral:rRNA from 1 species